CCUACGGGAGGCUGCAGUGGGGAAUAUUGGACAAUGGGCGAAAGCCUGAUCCAGCCAUGCCGCGUGUGUGAAGAAGGCCUUCGGGUUGUAAAGCACUUUCAGUGGGGAAGAAAGCCUUGGGGCUAAUACCCUCGAGGAAGGACAUCACCCACAGAAGAAGCACCGGCUAACUCCGUGCCAGCAGCCGCGGUAAUACGGAGGGUGCGAGCGUUAAUCGGAAUUACUGGGCGUAAAGCGCGCGUAGGCGGUCUGAUAAGCCGGUUGUGAAAGCCCCGGGCUCAACCUGGGAACGGCAUCCGGAACUGUCAGGCUAGAGUGCAGGAGAGGAAGGUAGAAUUCCCGGUGUAGCGGUGAAAUGCGUAGAGAUCGGGAGGAAUACCAGUGGCGAAGGCGGCCUUCUGGGCUGACACUGACGCUGAGGUGCGAAAGCGUGGGUAGCAAACAGGAUUAGAUACCCUAGUAGUC
rnacentral:rRNA from 1 species